UACAGAGGGGGCAAGCGUUGUUCGGAAUUACUGGGCGUAAAGGGCGCGUAGGUGGCCUUCUAAGUCGAACGUGAAAUCCCUGGGCUCAACCCAGGAACUGCGUCCGAGACUGGGAGGCUUGAAUCCGGGAGAGGAAUGUGGAAUUCCAGGUGUAGCGGUGAAAUGCGUAGAUAUCUGGAGGAACACCGGUGGCGAAGGCGGCAUCCUGGACCGGUAUUGACACUGAGGCGCGAAAGCUAGGGGAGCGAACGGG
rnacentral:rRNA from 1 species